rnacentral:misc_RNA from 1 species
UGUGGGAGCGAGCUUGCUCGCGAUAGCGGUGGGUCAGUUGCGUGCUGAUUGGCUGAAGCACCGCUAUCGCGAGCAAGCUCGCUCCCACA